rnacentral:lncRNA from 1 species
CCUGCUGCAUAGUGACAAUACCCAUUCCAUGUAUAUCCUUCUAUACAAUAUCCAACAACAAUACUACAAUCAUUAGCCUCAAUUAUGAACUAAAUUUCCUUAAUUUUAUUCUUCCUUAGUUGUAACUUGUAUCCACAUAUACACAUAUAAAUUUAACCCUAAUAUUCUUAAACCUUAACAGUUGCCUCCAUUCCACCAAAAUUAUCCAUAAAAUAAUUCUUUCCCACGAAUCCACAUGGACUAACAAACAAAGAUUCCAUAAAUUUUGUUUUUUCUUACUAAUGUUAA